CUUAAAUUGAAGAGUUUGAUCAUGGCUCAGAUUGAACGCUGGCGGCAGGCCUAACACAUGCAAGUCGAGCGGUAACAGGAAGAAAGCUUGCUUUCUUUGCUGACGAGCGGCGGACGGGUGAGUAAUGCCUGGGAAUAUGCCUUAACGUGGGGGAUAACUAUUGGAAACGAUAGCUAAUACCGCAUGAUGCCUACGGGCCAAAGAGGGGGACCUUCGGGCCUCUCGCGUUAAGAUUAGCCCAGGUGGGAUUAGCUAGUUGGUGAGGUAAUGGCUCACCAAGGCGACGAUCCCUAGCU
rnacentral:rRNA from 1 species